rnacentral:rRNA from 1 species
CUUUCCCUGAAGACCUCAUGAAGACUACAUGUUUGAUAGGCUGGGUGUGUAAUGGGUGAGAGCCCUUUAGCUGACCAGUACUAAUAGGUCGUUUGGCUUAUUCUAUAUUAA